rnacentral:misc_RNA from 1 species
GAUGAAGAACGCAGCGAAAUGCGAUAAGUAAUGCGAAUUGCAGAAUUUCCGUGAGUCAUCGAAUCUUUGAACGCACAUUGCGCCCGCCAGUAUUCUGGCGGGCAUGCCUGUUCGAGCGUCAUUACAACCCUCAGGCCCCCGGGCCUGGCGUUGGGGAUCGGCGGAGCCCCCGUGGGCACACGCCGUCCCCCAAAUGCAGUGGCGGUCCCGCCGCAGCUUCCAUCGCGUAGUAGCUAACACCUCGCGACUGGAGAGCGGCGCGGCCACGCCGUAAAACACCCAACUCUUCUGAAGUUGACCUCGAAUCAGGUAGGAAUACCCGCUGAACUUAAGCAUAUCAAUAAGCGGAGGA